AGUCCCGUGGUGUAGCGGCCAAUCAUAACGGCCUUUGGACACGACUGGUAACUCCACUGUGGAAGAUAGCCGUUGACGGCGGUUCGAAUCCGCCCGGGACUA
rnacentral:tRNA from 1 species